rnacentral:rRNA from 1 species
AUAGAUAAUCGGGCUUGAUUGGGAAACAAUAACAUGGUUUAUGUUCUCGUUCUGGGUAAAUAGAAUUUCGAUUAUUUUAAUGAUCGUCAUUGUUCCCCGGAUAGUUAGUUACGUAGCCAAUUGUGGAACUUUCUUGCUAAAAUUUUUAAGAAUACUAAUCUGGAGGGGAAACCCCUCAGUUAGCUCUUUUAAAUUAUAACGAAUAUCAAUUAACAAUCAAUUCAGAACUGGCACGGAGUAGGGGAAUCCGACUGUCUAAUUAAAACAAAGCAUUGUGAUGGCCCUAGCGGGUGUUGACACAAUGUGAUUUCUGCCCAGUGCUCUGAAUGUCAAAGUGAAGAAAUUCAAGUAAGCGCGGGUCAACGGCGGGAGUAACUAUGACUCUCUUAAGGUAGCCAAAUGCCUCGUCAUCUAAUUAGUGACGCGCAUGAAUGGAUUAACGAGAUUCCUACUGUCCCUAUCUACUAUCUAGCGAAACCACAGCCAAGGGAACGGGCUUGGAAUAAUUAGCGGGGAAAGAAGACCCUUUUGAGCUUGACUCUAAUCUGGCAGUGUAAGGAGACAUAAGAGGUGUAGAAUAAGUGGGAGAUAUUAGAUUUCGGUUUAGUAUCGCCAAUGAAAUACCACUACUCUUAUUGUUUCCUUACUUACUUGAUUAAAUGGAACGUGUAUCAUUUCCUAGCCAUUAUACGGAUAUAUUUUAUAUAUCUUAUGGUAUUGGGUUUUGAUGCAAGCUUCUUGAUCAAAGUAUCAUGAGUUUGUUAUAUAAUUGCAAACAAAUUCUAUAAUGAGAGGAUGCAUUUAUGUGUUUUUCAUUUAUGAAUUUGGUAUAACUCCAAUUACUCCGGUAUGAUCCAAUUCAAGGACAUUGCCAGGUAGGGAGUUUGACUGGGACGGUACAUCUCUCAAAUAAUAACGGAGGUGUCCCAAGGCCAGCUCAGAGCGGACAGAAACCACACAUAGAGCGAAAGGGCGAGAGCUGAUUUGAUCUUGGUGUUCAGAACACACAGGGACAGCAAAAGCUCGGCCAUUCGAUCCUUUUGGUUUAAAGAGUUUUUAACAAGAGGUGUCAGAACAGUUACCAUAGGGAUAACUGGCUGGUGGCGGCCAAGCGUUCAUAGCGACGUCGCUCUUUGAUCCUUCGAUGUCGGCUCUUCCUAUCAUUGUGAAGCAAAAUUCACCAAGCGUUGGAUUGUUCACCCAUGCAAGGGAACGUGAGCUGGGUUUAGACCGUCGUGAGACAGGUUAGUUUUACCCUACUAAUGACAAAACGUUGUUGCGACAGCAUUCCUGCGUAGUACGAGAGGAACCGCAGGUACGGACCUAUGGCACAAUACUUGUUCGAGCGAACAGUGGUAUGACGCUACGUCCGUUGGAUUAUGCCUGAACGCCUCUAAGGUCGUAUCCGUGCUGGACUGCAAUGAUAAAAAUGGGGCAAUUUGCAUUGUAUGGCUUCUAAAUCAUUAAAAGUUUAUAUGCAUUUAUAAACGACAAUGAAUAUGAUGCCAAUGUUAUGAGUAACAUAGUAACUUGGGAGGAUCUUCGAUCACCUGGUGCCAUGCUAGUUACUUAUUAAAACAUUAUUUAAUACAAUGACAAAGCCUAGAAUCAAUUGUAAACGACUUUUGUAACGGGCAAGGUGUUGUAAGUGGUUGAGCAGCUGCCAUACUGCGAUCCACUGAAGCUUAUCCUUUGCUUGAUGAUUCGA